rnacentral:lncRNA from 1 species
CUUAAAGCUUUAUCCACUGUUAUCCAAGGAAUAUUAACCAGAAAUAAGGGCACUAACAUCAAUAUGAAAUAGAGUCAAAGAUAAGAACCCUGCAAAUGGUUAUUGGGUGCUAACUUUGCAGAACUUAUUAUGUUGAAACUAUUUUUUUUUGUUUGUUUGUUUGUUUUAAAGAAAAGUAUCAUUAAUGUUGCUUUGUCUUGAAAGACAGGUCCCAAGAGGGUCUUCGCGAUUCUGAACGGAUGUGAACUCCUGCGGUGCGGCCAGCAGUGUCAAUAUUUCUCUGUUUGAGAUUUAAAUAGGGAAGGGAAAGUGUUAAUAAAACACCCUGCCAAAGCAAUCUGGUGAUGGUGACCACAGACUCACAAAAGAGCACUGCGUCAUUGGAGCCCCCCCGCCCCGGGAGUAGGGUUUCAGCCUGGGCAGGUUGGCAGUCUCUGACAGAUGAGGCACGGCGCUCGUUCAGCCCUCUGCCCACAUCUCCGACUCUGCCGCCCUUCCCAGCCCUAUCUGGCAACCUCCUGAAUGACCAGUCCCUGGGCUCUGCGACAGUGCUGGUCCCUUCCCUGGGCAAGGCCUCCCUGGCUGCGUCUGUACCAGAUCCGCGCCACCCUGGCUACGCCCCCACACUCCUCCGCUCCUCCCCUGGACACACCCUCCCCACCGCGCCACGCCGGCGCACUGACCGCCCCAGGGGCCUUGUGGGCGGAGCUCGCACAGUCUCCCGCACCCAACCCUCUUCCCCCGCCUCGGCCACCAAGCGCCUCCAAGGACGCGCAUUUCCUGCAAGGCCUCAGUGUGCCCUUUGGCCGAACCCAACCGAGGACCCCAGCCCUUCCAAACAGGUCGCGAUGGUGGAUGAGCUGGUGCUGCUGCUCCACGCGCUCCUGGUGCGGCACCGCGCCCUGUGCAUCGAGCACAGCCAGCUCAGGGAGCAGCUGCGGCUGCUGGUGUGCGAGAGGGCCAGUCUUUUGCGCCAGGUGGCAGAACUGAGAUGCUAACUAGUUACAGGUCCAGAGCAGGAGGAGAAUCUGGCCUGUGAUUAGAUCUGAGGUGACCUUUCUGGAGUGGAAGUUAAGGAUAAGCUGAGAGAGCACAAGCUGUGUGGGGAAGGAAGAAAGCUGCCUGUGAUCAGUGAGGACGCUAUGCCACAGCAGCAUGUAACUAGCAUCCAGGAGAGGUAGGCCAAGGAGCUCAGUGAUUUGAAAUGCACAUUUCCUGAACAUAUGUGCAAGUGUGUGUCAGGUUGCCAUAACUGUGUGCAUGCUUGUGUGUGUGCAUACGUAAGGUGUAUCCUUCAUGCAUCAUGGAGGAACAGAGUAUUCUGUGAGCUGCAGGAAAGUGUGACAGUCUGUUUACCUUGGGGGAAGAUUGCAUAAUGAAAAGUAACAUGACAAGGACACCAGGAAUUCAUGAAAAUGGCAUAAGGCAUUGCAAAUAUAAGAAGUAGAUCAGCAUAUCCAGGACAAAAUCACCACUAGAUGAAAAUGAUUGAAGAUAGGUGGAAAUGCUGAAAUGA